rnacentral:SRP_RNA from 1 species
GCUGGGCAUGGUGUCACAUGCCUGUAGUCCAGGCUACUUGGGAAGCUGAGGUUAGGAGGAUCACUUGAGCCCAGGAAGUCGAGGCUGUAGUGAGCUAUGAUUGUGCCACCAUGCCCUAGCCUGGGCUACAGAGUGAGAUUCUGUCUCUU